AGUGUCUAAUUACGCUGCUAGGUGGAUGACUCGGUUCUCAUGCCGAAGACGGGUGUGACAAGCUGCAGAAAGCCAUGGCGAGGCGCAUGUAGCCAUCGAACCAUGGAUCCCUUAAUGGGACUACCCAACAGAUCCGUGAGGAUAGGGAACGCAGGGAAUUGAAACGUCUGAGUACCUGCAGGAAAAGAGACCAAUCGGUAUGCGGUUAGUAACAGCGAGUGAAAACCGUACAGGGCAAACUGAAUCCUGCGCAGAAAUGUGAAGGAGAUGUGGUGUUGUAGACUGCCUUUUAGACCUGAACCUUUCGAUUCGAAGUUCGCUGGAACGCGGCACGAAACAGGGUGAUAGUCCCGUAGAAGAAGAGAGGAAGGCGUGGCAGUAUCUCGAGUACUGCUUAUCGGAUAUUAAGCAGGAAGACGGGGGGCAUCAACCCCCAACCCUAAACACUAUGAGAGUCCGAUAGCGUACGAGUACCGCGAGGGAAAGUUGAAAAGAACCCCUAACUGGGAGUUCAAAGAACCUGAAACCUAGCAGCUUUCGUAGGGUAGGGCUCUUCGGAGUUCUGCCGUGCGUUUAGAAAAACGUGCCAGGGAGUUUGCCUUAGUGGCGAGGGUAAUCCUAAAAAGGAGCACCCAUAGGGAAACCGAUAUUCCGCAAGCAAUGAGGGAUAUGGUAUGAAAGUGCCAGGAGUCACUAGGGCAAGACCCGAAGCCGAACGAUCUAACCCUGAGUAAGGUGAAGUGCGGGUAAAACCGUGCGGAGGCCUGUAGAGAACUUACGUGCAAGUAGUCUUCUAACUUGGGGCUAGGGGUGAAAAGCCAAUCGAGUUCGGCGAUAGCUGGUUCCCACCAAAGUUGGCCGCAGUCAAGCCUCGGAGGAGAUGGCGACGGUGGUAGAGAGACGGAUUAGGGAAAUAGGCCGGGAAACUGGUCAGUCCCUUGUCCAACUCCUAAUGUCGUCGCAUCGAAGAGUCCGGGAGACGGGGCACUGGGGUAAACCCGGUGUCCGAGAGGGGAACAACCCAGACCAUGGUUAAGGUCCCUAAAUGCUGGCUCAGUGCGAUCGGGUGAAAGGUGUCCAUAGCCAAAGACAGCGAGGAGGUUGGCUUAGAAGCAGCCACCCUUCAAAAAGUGCGUAACAGCUUACUCGUCAAGGUUAUGGGCCCUGAAAAUGGACGGGGCUAAGUCAGUUACCGAUACCAUGGGCCAUUCGAAAGAUGUGCGAUAGGUGGGUGUCCUGCCAGGACAGAAGCGUCUCCACAAGGAGGCGUGGACCUGGUAGGAAUAAAAAUCCUGGCGGUAGUAGGAUCAUAGCGGUGUGAGAAUCACCGCCGCCGAAAGGGCAAGGGUUUCUUGACAAUGCAGUUCAGUCAAGAGGUAGUUGGGCCUAACUGUCCUCCUAACUGGAUGGACGGGAAAGGGAGACCGGUCAAUAUUCCGGUACUACCGGUGUAUGCGUGGCAACACAAGUCCUGUUUCUGACAUUUCGGGGUAAGCUGACACAGCAUGUCUGCUGUGCUAACCAAGAUACAUCGAGGGAGUAUCGUCACGAUGAGAACUCGAUGAAACUUGGGAAUGGUGCUCCUCUGGAGCAUUCAGCCCAUCCCUGGAAUCCGUGAAAAAGGAACAGGAAAAGAUCAUCGGUAUCCAUACCCAGAACCAGCACAGGUGCCCCUAGGUGAGAAGCCUAAGGUGUGAGGGUUAAAUCCGUUUGAGGGAACUCGGCAAACCAGUCCCGUGCCUUCGGUAGAAGGGAUCCCUGCUCUUGUGGGUGUAUGCCUGCGAGAGCAGGGCGCAGUGACUAGGAUGGUCCGACUGUUUAACAAAAACAUAACUAUCUGCUAGCCCGUAAGGGUGUGUACAGAUGGUGACGUCUGCCCAGUGCCAGUACUUCAAACUCUGUUCCAACGGAGCUAAGAGCUGGUAAACGGCGGGAGUAACUAUAACUCUCUUAAGGUAGCGAAAUGCCUUGUCGUUUGAAUGACGACCCGCAUGAAUGACGUAACGAGAUCGUCGCUGUCCCCAGACGGAGUCCCCUGAACACUCUUCCUGGUGCAAAGGCCAGGGUUUUCCAGUGGGAAGUGAAGACCCCGUGAAACUUUACUGUAGUCUGUAGUUGUGAUGCACGUUUGGAUAUGUAGCGUAGGUGGUAGCCGCUCGAAGUCGCGAUCGUCAGGUCGCGUCUAGGCAACAAUGAAACACCACUUUUCUGGAUUUGCAUUGCUUACUCCCGAAAGGGCGGACAGCUAUUGAUGGACAGUUUGGCUGGGGUGGCACACCGAUGAAACAAUAUCAUCGGUGACCAAUGGUUGGCUCAGCCGGGUCAGAAAUCCGGCGUAGAGUUCAAGAGCAAAAGCCAGCCUGAUUGGAUUCUCAACAGCACAGGAUCCAAACGCGAAAGCGUGGUCUAGCGAACCAGAAUACCUCCUUGAUGGGGGUUUCUGAUGACCGAAAAGUUACUCCGGGGAUAACAGAGUUGUCGCGCCCGAGAGCUCCUAUCGACGGCGCGGCUUGCUACAUCGAUGUCGGCUCUUCCUAUCCUGGGCGUGCAGAAGCGUCCAAGGGUGAGGGUGUUCACCUAUUAAAAGGGAUCGUGAGCUGGGUUCAGAACGCUGUGAGGCAGUUUGUUUAAUAUCUACUGGAAAUGCUUGAUGUCUGAGAGGAAGGACCUUUUAGUACGAGAGGAACGGAGGUUCGUCGCCACUGGUCUACCGGUUAUCCGACAGGGUACGCCGGGCAGCUACGCGAUAGGGGAUAAACGCUGAAAGCAUCUAAGCGUGAAGUCCUCCUCGAAAAGAGACAUCACGGACGCGAGCAGAAGACUCGGUCGAUAGAGCAGGGGUGUACGCGCAAAGGCAACGAUGCGCUCAGCCUGCUGCUACUAAGAGUCCGGACUUAGC
rnacentral:rRNA from 1 species